rnacentral:tRNA from 1 species
GGAAAUGUGGCUUAGUGGUAGAGUGCUUGCCUAGCAUGCUUGAAGCCCUGGGUUCAAUUCCUCAGUGCCA